rnacentral:rRNA from 1 species
GACGAACGCUGGCGGCGUGCCUAAUACAUGCAAGUAGGACGCACAGUUUAUACCGUAGCUUGCUACACCAUAGACUGUGAGUUGCGAACGGGUGAGUAACGCGUAGGUAACCUGCCUGGUAGCGGGGGAUAACUAUUGGAAACGAUAGCUAAUACCGCAUAAUAUUAAUUAUUGCAUGAUAAUUAAUUGAAAGGUGCAAUUGCACCACUACCAGAUGGACCUGCGUUGUAUUAGCUAGUAGGUGAGGUAACGGCUCACCUAGGCGACGAUACAUAGCCGACCUGAGGGGGUGAUCGGCCACACUGGGACUGAGACACGGCCCAGACUCCUACGGGAGGCAGCAGUAGGGAAUCUUCGGCAAUGGACGAAAGUCUGACCGAGCAACGCCGCGUGAGUGAAGAAGGUUUUCGGAUCGUAAAGCUCUGUUGUAAGAGAAGAACGGGUGUGAGAGUGGAAAGUUCACACUGUGACGGUAUCUUACCAGAAAGGGACGGCUAACUACGUG